rnacentral:rRNA from 1 species
AUACGGAGGGUGCAAGCGUUAAUCGGAAUUACUGGGCGUAAAGCGCACGUAGGUGGUCAUGUCAGUCGGGUGUGAAAGCCCCGGGCUCAACCUGGGAACUGCAUUCGAUACUGCAUGACUUGAGUCUGGUAGAGGGAAGUGGAAUUCCGCAUGUAGCGGUGAAAUGCGUAGAUAUGCGGAGGAACAUCAGUGGCGAAGGCGACUUCCUGGACCAAGACUGACACUGAGGUGCGAAAGCGUGGGGAGCAAACAGGAUUAGAUACCCCAGUAGUCC